UACGUAGGGUGCGAGCGUUGUCCGGAUUUAUUGGGCGUAAAGAGCUCGUAGGCGGUUUGUCGCGUCGGCCGUGAAAUCUCCACGCUUAACGUGGAGCGUGCGGUCGAUACGGGCAGACUUGAGUUCGGUAGGGGAGACUGGAAUUCCUGGUGUAGCGGUGAAAUGCGCAGAUAUCAGGAGGAACACCGGUGGCGAAGGCGGGUCUCUGGGCCGAUGACUGACGCUGAGGAGCGAAAGCGUGGGGAGCGAACAGG
rnacentral:rRNA from 1 species